GAGUGCCAGAAAGUGAGCUCCGAGUUGGAUUGAGAGAAGGGAGUAGUGUGAGUUUUCCUGGUUGGGUAGUGGAGCCAGAUCAGGCUGGUGAAAGCAGGAAGGUAGCUGGGGUGUCCCCUAGCUGGAGAGCCACGAGAGGGCUGAAGGCUGAGAGCAACAAAGGGAGAGCUGUCUGCUGGCUCUUUGAGCUCAAGAGCCGACGCUGGAGGGGCAGAACGGGCUGAAGACUGGGGAAUGAUGGAGGGAUGAGCCUGCUGACAUCUCCAGGUGAGAACUAAAACCAUACCUGAGCAGGAAACAGAACAGAGAAGCACACCAGUGAGUGAGGCAUGGUGAGAGAUGGCUGGAGCUGUACCUGUACCUGAGAGAAACUUCUCAUUUGUGGAACUCUUUUGGAACCCAGAAGGGGAGGUCUUUUUCUGCUUUGACUUGAGGGACAAGCUACCCUACUUGCUGGAGAGACACUGAGGCAGCAACUGCCCCAUUCAGAAAGAGCUGCAGAGCUAGACAAAGCUACAGGCCCUGGGAAGAAUGGCAGAGCUGCAGUGAGCUUCCUGUUAACGAAGUUCUACCACCUCUAGUGGGGCAGUGCAGAGGAGAAUCGUCUUCCUUUUCAACCAACCGAGAGGAGGGAAAAGAGCAAAAAGGGACAUCUAAAGUUAGCUGUCUGCACAUUUGUGA